GAAACAGGGUCUCACUCUAUUGCCAGGCUGGAGUACAGUGGUGCGAUCACAGCUCACUGCAGCCUUGAACUCCUGGGCUCAAGUGAUCAUGCCGCCUCAGCCUCCCAAAGUGCUGGGAUUAUAGGUCUGUCUUCCUCACUGGACUGUGAGCUGCCUAAAGUUGCCGAGGAGGAAACCAUGGCCCAGCAAGCGAGAGUGAUUUGCUUAGAACACACAACAGAGUUUGGAUCAGAAUCCAGUUGCCCCGGCUCCCACUUCAGUGCUCUGUCCGCAAAAUACUGCACAACAUUGAAGCGUUCCUGGCUGGGAACAUCCUUGAUACUGCACCUGUGUGGAACUUCUGCAUUAGAGCCAGGGUCCUUCCUCCAUUCCAAAGAAUUGGAUACAGUAAAUCUUCAUUGAUUCCUAUUUGAGUAGUUCAAAAUUAGUGACACUUUGGCCUGGCUAGGCUGAAACUGGCUUCUGAAUUAUCUGAGACAAAAGUGUUUAUUGACAGUGACAAAAACAAGCAAAUU